UUUUAUCUCCUCAUUUAUCUAUCUUCCUUUUCCCAUCAACUAACAUAUAAUCUUUUUUGUUUAAAUGGUUGUUUUGGCAAUGUCUUGUGAAACCCCAUAAACAAAACUGACAUUUGGGUCUUCGGCUGUUACGAUUAAUAGAAUUUUAUAAAGGGUAUGUAGAUAUAAUUUUGGUUUGAAGAUCUACUUGGGAUUAUUUUCUUUACAUCUGAUUUUUACAAACCACAAGCUGAUAUGUCAAUGAUGUCAAUAAGGUGAACUUACUCAUCAAAAACCCAACAAUGGCAACCAUUUCACUCUAGAUGAAAUCUCCCUAAACAACAUCAACUUCUUCGGUCAAGAUGAAUGGUUACUGGAUUUUGCUCGGGCAUUGACGGUUGUUGUGAGAGCUCAUGAAUGGUCAGGCUCCUAAAAAAAUGCUUAUAGAUUCUAUUCCAAAAGAACUUCACGUUCAUUACCACCCUGUGCAACAGUGGUUUUAAAGCCUUUAUGUCCCUGAUUUAUGACUUUCCUGAUGUUAUGACUCUUGGGAGUUCUUCAAUGAAAUAUCGCAAACAAACAUCUGGUUUCAAUCUGAGCAACCAAAGGUCAGCUUUGCCUCUCAAGCUCAUCUUUGACGCUCAUUAUUGAUGGUGAUGAUGAUAUACUGGCUUUGAAAGAAUUCAAGUGUGCAAUGAGUAGGUUGUAAUUUUAUAACUUUGGACUUUAGGGAAAUGGUGGUCACCCCUAUGCUGCCACCGAACCUAGGACCUAUGGUUAAUGCAAAUGUUGUAGUAGCUCCACCACUACCAGAAACUGACAUGACUGGAAUAUGCUUCAGAGAUUAAUUGUGGUAGAAUAUGUACCCAAUGGACCGUAAUCUUGUAUUUGAUUAUUCUGCACUUUUUUCUUUCUAUGAUUAUGCUUGCACCAGUGAAUAACCUAGGACGUGUUCAAUUCAUUCGUUAGAUAUAUCUCAUCUUUCGUAAGUUUUUCGUUCAAUCUUGCU